rnacentral:tRNA from 1 species
CAAGUUAUAUUUUAUAGUAAUAAAUGUUAUUUACAAUAAUAUUUUGGUUUGUGCAAUUCAACCUAACUUGA